rnacentral:lncRNA from 1 species
CAAAUGCUUCCAUGAGAGUGUAGAACCUUAUAAUUCUUCAUGUGAUGCACCAAAACAAAUGUAAAUGGAUAAAACUUGAGUUUACGGCCCAAGAACAUUCUCUGACCAUAAACACACCUUCUUAGACCUUAAACUCAUCCAAAGGGUGUUAAAGUGCCCUUAACACCUUGAAUGGCUUGUAUGUUGGACCAGAAUCACAUGUGAUUAACCUAUAACCACUAAAACGCAUGAUUCAUGGACAAACAUGCAUUUAAGGUAGUAAACUCAUGUGUUUAGGGUAGUAAACUCCCCAAUAACAUCUUCAUAAACCGUAAACUCCUUUUCCUAAGUCAAUUUAAGUCCCAAUCACUUCCUAAGCCAUGGAAUCAACCCUAGAACCUUCCUUUGUGCAUUGUAAUUAACUUAGGACCAUCAAAACACAUUUGAACAUAGCACAUAAGAGUUUACGGCCGUAAAAUCAUAGUUUACUACCGUAAACUCCUCAAAUGGUCCUUAGAAUGCCCAAAUUCCCUUCCAAUGCCACAAAACCAAGACUAGCAUCACCCCUAAAGUGCUAUAAGACCAAUUAGCAACCAAGAACACCCACACCAUGAGUUUACGGCUGUAAACUCAUGGGGAGUUGGUCAUUUGGACUGUAAAUUCUCUUGAGAGUUUACUCUUGAAGAGUAAACUCCAUAUCCAAGCCAUAUACGUCCAUAGAUGUCACCCGGGUCACUCCGAACACUUGUUUUGAAGUGUUUUCGCGUCUGAGAGUGUAAAAUUGUAUCUGAUUAGUGAUUAUAGUCUAAUUAGAUACAUUUGUGUAUCAUUUAAUAUUACAUAGGAACCUCGCACGUUUUCAAGCCUCGAACCGACGUUUAGCAUCCAAACCGACACAAUCCUCGUCCGGUGAGUUCAUACCCCUACCCUUUUUUAGUGUUUUUCAAUGUUUUCAAGGGGAGAAUACAAGCAAAAGUAGAAUAAUAUCUUGUACUUAAAGUGUUUAUUUCAUUUAAACUGUUUGAUANAAACUCCAUAAAAUGGUACAAAUUGGUGCCAUAAACCCUCCUAAAGCCUAGUACUCAAGCCUAGAAUUGUUCCUAGUUAUUAUAGAGACUUGAAAGCAUCAUAAUAACCCUCCCAAGGGAGUUUACGGCUGUAAACUACAAGGGAUUAGGGUCUUUGGGCCGUAAACUCCCCAAAGGAGUCAAUGUUGUGCCCAAACACUUGCAUAGGCCUUGAAACAAUUCUCACUAAGGUUGUAGUAAUUCAAAGUACCAUUCCAAGCCUUGGUUGAGAGUUUACGGCCAGGAGCUUACUCCCCUGGGCCGUAAACUCCAAUGAAUAUGGUCUUUUGACCUUAAACUUCCAUUAGGGGCAUUGCACUCCUUUGUUGCAACCCAUUAGCCUCCUAGCACUUGACCAAAAGUGUUGUCCUCACGUUNGUUAUUACUUGUAUAAUUAGUGUUAUAAUCACUAAUUAUUUAUAUACAUAUGUUUUCAUAUGUAAUUAGGACUGUGUGUGUCUAAGUCUUCACUUAACACAAAGCACGUGUCCGAUCUUUCCGUACGAUAACAGCCCGUUCAAUUCCAGUCACUUACUGCAGGUGAGUUCAUACCCCUUAACUAAUGUUUUAAACUAUUUUAAAUGUUUUAUGGGGGGGGAUACAAGUAGAAUCAUGCUAGUAUUAUAUCAAUCACAUGCGAUUAAUAAGUAGAAUUACGCUAGUUAUUACAUCAAUCACAUGUGAUUAAUAUACAGCAUUCAAAAGAUUUGGCUACUCAUUAGCCGUUUUACCAAACAGUUUCCUUCAAAUGAUUUUUAUAAACAUUUUAUAUGUUUUAAACUCCUUAUUACACUGUGCCUCUUACUCUGUUUAUCAUAUUUCAAACUUAUUUACAACUGUGUUUCAAACAAAUGUUCCUUAUACUUAUAUUGUUUUAUCAAACUUAUGCCUUCAAAUUGUUUUAUAGAUUGACAUCAAGUCGAUCUUUCCUUAAAAUAAUAUUUAUGUUUCAAAUGUUUUACCAAACUUAUUUAUGCUUUUAUAUUAUAAAUUGCAUGCCUCUAUAUGUAUAGUUAUAUAAGAAAUGUUUAAAAGACUUAGGAAGGCUAUCCACCCUAUUUCCUUUUCGCGCCUUGAGAUGUGGUCUGGUGGGAUAUCGGAUACUCGUCCGAAGGUCGUUUAAAUAUUAGUUAUAUAUCAUGUGUACAUAUAAAGUCAUAAAAGGUCCUUCCAGUUCAUCCUAUGCCCUUGGGUAGCAAGGGUAUACAUCCAUGUCCAUACGUACCACUUAGAUUACUAGUAAGCUACCAUAUGGGUAGUUCAGGAAGAUACUAGAACCAUUACUAGAACGCGAUAUCAUACAAUGAGUCAGUUCAUUCAUGAGUCAAUACUUUCUAGAACAUUACUGUACAUUACAUAUACAACUAUACUAGGACGAGAACAUAUACAACUAUACUAGAACGUUUACAUUACUAUCCUUGCUAGAUAGAGAGAACACACAUUGCAGCUAGCACACAUAGAACAUUACAGUUCAUUACAUUACUAUACUUGCUAGAACAGUUCAUUACAUUACUAUACUUGCUAGAACAGUUCAUUACAUUACAGCUAGAACAGUACAUUACAUUACAUAUACGAGAAUACGUUAAUUACUGUGAUUUAAAUCGGAGCAUGACUUAAAACCUCAUGACUUGAGUUGCGGCCAGAGUCUCUUGAAGGGGGAGCGUUGAGUUUGCGUAUAGAUCUAUGCUGGAUUGACAAUCCUACACCUUGCUGCUAGCUACAGCCGGACCUGCAGGUCUGCGGGUGCCAAACGUCAUUCCGUUAUUACGACCAUUCGUAUGUCGUUGUUACAGUCGAUAGUAUGGUGCAAUUUAUCACAGAAUGCCUUAGCCUAAAAUCCGGUUUAAGGUAGUUAGUACGGUAGUAGUCCUUUUAGAGCUACGUUUUAGUACUACGUUAAUUUUUCCAUUACAUAUUUUUAGUGAUAACCUCACUUAAACAUAAAUGUACAAACUAUAUUUUUGGAUAAUGAUAGUUAUACUUUGGAAAAAUACAUACUCUUACAAGAGACACACACAGAGAACAGUUAGGUCUUGGUAGAAGACACCUUCAUAAACUAGAAGGAAUCAUAGGGAUUCUAGGGCUUUUCAAACACUUACAAAUUCUUACGAUAUAUAGACUUGCAAGUACUUACAAUUCAUAUACACUUACAAAUUCUUACAAUACAUAGACUUACAAAUUCUUACAAUACAUAGACUUACAAAUUCUUACAUACAAAUUAAGACACUAAAUACUUAUGAUCUCACCAGCUUCAAAGCUGAUACUCGCUUUCAAAAUUACUUGUAUCCUCAGGUCAUCAUAGACAGGUACCGAUGCAAGGAGAAAGGAAGAUGGAGCUUGUUCAAGACUUAUCUUUCAUUUUGAUUUAUGCUUUAGUGUUUAUCAAAAUUUGACAGAAUACAAUUGUAUAAUAAUUAUUUUAUUAAUGCAAUGAAUGAUGUUGUUGCUUGUUUACUACUUUACAUUGUUGUUGAUAUUAUACAUGACGUCCUCCGCCCCAGAACGUUUCCGCCGUUCUUGGUUUUGGGGUGUGACAAUAUUCAUGGACCAUAAACUUCUUUUAAAGUGUCAAAAUGCCCCUAAACACCUCCAAAUGCUUCCAUGAGAGUGUAGAACCUUAUAAUUCUUCAUGUGAUGCACCAAAACAUAUGUAAACGGAUCAAACUUGAGUUUACGGCCCAAGAACAUUCUUGGACCGUAAACACACCUUCUUAGACCUUAAACUCAUCCAAAGGGUGUUAAAGUGCCCUUAACACCUUGAAUGGCUUGUAUGUUGGACUAGAAUCACAUGUGAUUAACCUCUAACCACUAAAACACAUGAUUCAUGGACAAACAUGAGUUUAAUGUAGUAAACUCAUGUGUUUAAGGUACUAAACUCCCCAAGAACAUCUUCAUAAACCGUAAACUCCUUUUCCUAAGUCAAUUCAAGUCCCAAUCACUUCCUAAGCCAUGGAAUCAACCCUAGAACCUUCCUUUGUGCAUUGUAAUUAACUUAGGACCAUCAAAACACAUUUGAACAUAGCACAUAAGAGUUUACGGCCGUAAACUCCUCAA